rnacentral:rRNA from 1 species
UGAGGAAUAUUGGUCAAUGGGCGAGAGCCUGAACCAGCCACGUCGCGUGAAGGAAGACUGACCUUACGGUUUGUAAACUUCUUUUGUAGAGGGGUAAUGGCAGAUACGUGUAUUUGCGUGAAAGUACUCUACGAAUAAGCAUCGGCUAACUCCGUGCCAGCAGCCGCGGUAAUACGGGGGAUGCGAGCGUUGUCCGGAAUUAUUGGGCGUAAAGCGCGCGCAGGUGGUUUAGAAAGUCUGAUGUGAAAGCCCACGGCUCUACCGUGGAGGGUCAUUGGAAACUAAUAAACUUGAGUGCAGGAGAGAAAAGUGGAAUUCCUAGUGUAGCGGUGAAAUGCGUAGAGAUUAGGAGGAAUACCGGUGGCGAAGGCGGCUUUUUGGCCUGCAACUGACACUGAGGCGCGAAAGCGUGGGGAGCAAACAGG